rnacentral:rRNA from 1 species
CCUACGGGGGACAGCAGUGAGGAAUAUUGGUCAAUGGGCGCGAGCCUGAACCAGCCAAGUAGCGUGAAGGAUGAAGGCCCUACGGGGUGUAAACUUCUGUUAUAAAGGAAUAAAGUGAGGCACGUGUGCCUUUUUGUAUGUACGUUAUGAAUAAGGAUCGGCUAACUCCGUGCCAGCAGCCGCGGUAAUACGGAGGAUCCGAGCGUUAUCCGGAUUUAUUGGGUUGAAAGGGAGCGUAGAUGGGUUGUUAAGUCAGUUGUGAACGUUUGCGGCUCAACCGUAAAAUUGCCAUUGAUACUGGCAGUCUUGCGUACAGUUGAGGUCGGCGGCAUUCGUGUUGUAGCGGUGCCCUGCUUAGAUAUCCC